rnacentral:lncRNA from 1 species
AUAAUUUCUCCCCGUUUCUAAUAUUUUGCCUUGAUCUUCUGUUAUUUCUCCUUUACUGUCCUUAAUAGCAGUAAUGUUUUUCCUUGUUUGUCUUGAUUUUUCUAAUCCCAAGAAAUAUUUUGUAUUUUUUUUUUCGCCCUCUUCUAUCCAUUUAACUCGUGAUCUUAUUUGUGCCCCUUUUAUUUUAUCUGAAUAUAGAGUUUGUAGCGU